CCUACGGGUGGCAGCAGUGAGGAAUAUUGGUCAAUGGACGGAAGUCUGAACCAGCCAUGCCGCGUGCAGGAUGACGGCUCUAUGAGUUGUAAACUGCUUUUGUACGAGAAUAAUAGUUCUUACGUGUAGGGAUUUGAAUGUAUCGUACGAAAAAGGAUCGGCUAACUCCGUGCCAGCAGCCGCGGUAAUACGGAGGAUUCGAGCGUUAUACGGAUUUACUGGGUUUAAAGGGUGCGUAGGCUGUCCGAUAAGUUAGAGGUCAAAUGUCGGGGCUUAACCACGGGCCUGCCUUUGAUACUGGUAGUCUAGAGAGCGGGUGAAGCAGGCGGAAUGAGUAGUGUAGCGGUGAAAUGCAUAGAGAUUA
rnacentral:rRNA from 1 species